GUUGGUGAACCAGCGGAGGGAUCAUUACUGAGUUCUACAAAACUCCCAACCCUUUGUGAACCUUACCGUCGUUGCCUCGGCGCUGAGCGGUAGCUACCUGGGAGAAGCUACCCUGGAGACACCUACCCUGUAGGUGGCUACCCUGGAGCUACCCUGUAGUUGCACUUUACGCUCCGCCGGAGGACCACACAAACUCUUCUGUUUUAUGGUGUAUCUCUGAAUCGUUAACUAAAUACGUUAAAACUUUCAA
rnacentral:misc_RNA from 1 species